CAAGAAACGAGGCUGCGUGCGGUUCAUCUGCCCAGCCCCGCUCUUUACCUUGCCUACUGCACCGUUUGUUGCUUCCUGGCGGCGGAUUGCCUGCCGCCAGGGACAUUGAUACAACCCUGUAUAAGUAUUGAAACUCUGAAAUACGCAUAAAUCGUA
rnacentral:misc_RNA from 1 species